rfam:Desulfosporosinus lacus DSM 15449 genome assembly, contig: EJ50DRAFT_scaffold00001.1
CAGACAAUAUCAUUCUUGAAUUGUACUGAUUUAGAUUAAUUAUUUUUUAUAAAAAUAUAUCUGAAUAGACGGAUAAAUAUUUAUUUUCAUAAAAUUUUAAUAAUAAACCGCUUAGAUCUUGAUGACUGAGACGGAGGA